UCGCUUAGCGCAGUGGUUACGCUUUUGCCUAUCACAAGUCAAAAGGGUCGUGGGUUCGACUCCCACUAGUGAA